CCAUCUUUGGAGUUAUUUAAAAACAAAAUAAGAAGGGGGAAAAGGCAUUUUUAUAGAGCUCUUACAAACUUUAUUUGUCAGUGACUGGUUAACAAAAACUAUAUAUACAGAAAAAUCCUUAUAUGAGUCACUACUCUAAGUAUGUCUAAGACAAAGACCAUUAUGAUGUAUCUAUAGAAAGGUCUUAAAUCAGACAACAUUCAUUUUAAUAUUAUUAAUACAGAUCAACUGACAGUAGAUAAUAGAAAUUAUUCCAUAUUGAUAAAACUUUGGUAGGUUUUUAUGCCCCAUUUAUGGGCAUUAUGUUUUCUGGUCUGUGCGUCCGUCCGUCCGUCUGUUCGUUCGUUCGUCCGUUCGUCCGUCUGUCCCGCUUCAGGUUAAAGUUUUUGGUCGAGGUAGUUUUUGAUGAAGUUGAAGUCUAAUCAACUUGAAACUUAGUAUAUAUGUUCUGUAUGAUAUGAUCUUUCUAAUUUUAAUUCCAAAUUAGAGAUUUAACCCCAUUUUCAUGGUCCACUGAACAUAGAAAAUGAUAGUGCGGAUGGGGCAUCCGUGUACUGGGGACACAUUCUUGUUCUAUAUGAAUGGGAUUUUGAAUAAAUAAGCAUAUUCACCUACGGAAAAAGGAUAUUCACUGCGCAUAACGUCGCGUGCUUUUACCUGCACUAUUUUAGUAAAAAAACGAUUGAUGUACAAUUGGUUUUGGUUAAUAAUUGCCAUUACAUACAUUUCUCUCGGAAUAUGGAAUAAAACAAUUACUGUCUUUUGUUUCGGUAAAUAUGUGGUUUAAUUGACUUUUGAAAAACUGAUAUUCACUUCGGCCGUUGGCCUCAGUGAAUAUCAGUUUUUCAAAAGUCAAUAAAACUACACAUUUACCUCAUCAAAAGACAGUAAUUGUAUAGUAU
rnacentral:lncRNA from 1 species